rnacentral:rRNA from 1 species
GACGAACGCUGGCGGCGUGCUUAACACAUGCAAGUCGAACGGAAAGGCCCUGCUUUUGUGGGGUGCUCGAGUGGCGAACGGGUGAGUAACACGUGAGUAACCUGCCCUUGACUUUGGGAUAACUUCAGGAAACUGGGGCUAAUACCGGAUAGGAGCUCCUGCUGCAUGGUGGGGGUUGGAAAGUUUCGGCGGUUGGGGAUGGACUCGCGGCUUAUCAGCUUGUUGGUGGGGCAGUGGCUUACCAAGGCUUUGACGGGUAGCCGGCCUGAGAGGGUGACCGGCCACAUUGGGACUGAGAUACGGCCCAGACUCCUACGGGAGGCAGCAGUGGGGAAUAUUGCACAAUGGGCGGAAGCCUGAUGCAGCAACGCCGCGUGCGGGAUGACGGCCUUCGGGCUGUAAACCGCUUUCGCCUGUGACGAAGCGUGAGUGACGGUAAUGGGUAAAGAAGCACCGGCUAACUACGUG